rnacentral:tRNA from 1 species
GCAGUGGUGGUUCAGUGGUAGGAUUUUUGCCUUCCAUGCAGGAGACUUGGGUUCAGUCUUGGCCAGUGCA